ensembl:lncRNA
AUGUCAUUGGACCAAUGGGGUGUUGAUAAUGCAGGCGCAGAGGUUGGCCAGGUGAGAUGUAAGACCCGCCCACUGUGUGUCCUACUUCACCUGCAGAGGAACAGGAAUCUGUAGAAAAAAAGACCCCAACAAUUUUGCUGAAACAAAUCAACUGAAGUGAUUUUAACAAAAUGGCGGAAAAUUGAACAAAUGGGUACUGGUAGUGAAUGCCACUACAAACCACCUCAGCCUUCCCCUUGAGAGAGGAUUGCAUCUCCUGCUGAUUUCUUGACAUCUGGCAGAUUAUUUUCUUAGAUCUCAUGUAUUUGGUACAUUGCAAUCAACCCCAGGUCUCCUGCUGACUCACCAACCCAUUAGACCAAGAGGACUUCCAGGUCUCCUGCUGACUCACCAACCCAUUAGACCAAGAGGACAUCCAUGUCUCCUGCUGACUCACCAACCCAUUAGACCAAGAGGACAUCCAUGUCUCCUGCUGACUCACCAACCCAUUAGACCAAGAGGACAUCCUGGUCUCCUGUUGACUCACCAACCCAUUAGACCAAGAGGACUUCCAGGUCUCCUGCUGACUCACCAACCCAUUAGACCAAGAGGACAUCCUGGUCUCCUGUUGACUCACCAACCCAUUAGACCAAGAGGACUUCCAGGUCUCCUGCUGACUCACCAACCCAUUAGACCA